GUACGCGAGACCGCGCAGUGCGAGUUGUACGAAUGCCAUAUUGGUAAGGUCGAAACUGUAGGCGAUAUUUUAUUUUUUUCACUCGCCAACUGUCGUUUUGAAAGGUCAGUUACUUCAUGUUUAGCAGUGGCUAAUAGGAUGAGUAUACGGAAUCGAGAGUUGGGCAAGGGCUGCAGAGGGGGUACCCCGUUUGAUUAAUCAAUCAUCUGUAUCCGCAGAGUGAAAAACAGUACGGAAAGUAGAGCAUAGUUGCUGGAAAAAGGACAAUUUUCAUAUUUUCAGACGGAUGAUUCAGUUUGGGAUAUUCUGACGAUAAAAUGUCUAGCAGAGAAGAAGUGUUCAAAGAAAAGGUUUUGAAGAAACUUUAUAAUUUCCAGUUGAAGAAUGUUACACCACAAAAACCUACAAAUGAAGAAAAAUAUAUUACUACAAAAGAUGCUGAAAUAGUAGCUUCUGAGAGCAGCAAUGCAGAAACCUCUGUUAAUUGUGAUUCAACAAAAAGGAAAGUCUACACAGUGUGUCUACCACCUGAUGAUUAUAAACUAGGCAUGAUGGAAAAUGAUGUAUCAGCUGAGCCAGGGGACUCUUCCAGUCAAGAAGACACAGAAGAUGAUGAUAACAUUGAAACAAAUAUACCUAAAAGAAAGAGAAGAAGAAGAAAGACUGGUAUAAAAAAAUUGUCAGCAUGUGAAACUGCUCGGAAUACUACUGACACAGAUUUGAGUUCUUUAAAAACCAGCAAGAACAGAAAGCGAAAGUUGAAAAAAAAGAGACACAAAGAAAAGCUUCAUUCUGCAGGGAUGUUGUGCAAGUCUGUUGCUGUGGAGUUUACUUAUCAACCAAAGGAAACAAAAAGUGCAACAGAAGAUGAGAAAAUGAGUGAGGGGAAAAUAGCAGAGAUGCACGAAUUCUUUCAGUCAACACUGGAGUUGUAUUUUGCAGACUGUUCAACUAAAAACCCGGAGUCCAUAGUUCCUCCUUCAAUUUUUCAUCUCAUUCUCGAAAAACUUGCCACUCAAGCCAUUGUCUCCUCAGAUAUGGCACUGCUAUUUCAAAUGAAAUCUUUUAUCCUCCAACAGGAUAUUGAAAAUCUAAAGAAUUCUCUGGAUACUUUUCAGACUAAUACAAAGAUGCCUCCUGAUGAGGCCACUGCAGUUUGUUCCCUCUUUAAUUACUGGAUGAAAGACAUCAUGCCUACCUAAAUUCAGAUUAUCACAUCUGUUUUCUACCAUAGACAUUACUAGAAAUAUAACUUCAGUAUCAGCUUAUUUGUAUGGUGCCAUAUGCAACGAAAAUCGAAUGAGAUAAAUAUUUUGCACAGUUCUUGAGCUACACUUUUUUACUUUAUAAAGUGAUUGAAGAUGUUUUCUCGGUUGCCAAGGCUAACGCCAGGGUACAUCAGAUAUCUGCAGGUAAGAUUAAAAUGUAUCUUUUUGCUGAAGAAUGAAAUAAAAUUUGCUCACUGAUUUGUGCUACACUAUUAGCAGCAAGGCUAUUAGUGAGGCAUUGACAAGCCUUUUCUUCAAGGGAGUUUCAUUAAUGUGCAGUAGAUGAGUGAAUGCUGCGAGAUACACCUUAGAAAUAAUGAUUGUUUCUUUCAACGCUGUGGGUUGGUUUAAACCUAAUGACCAAAUUUAUAAGAUUUUUUUUCACAGUAAGUAAUGAGGUUCUCUCUGUACGUGCAUAUGCAGUCUAUUUUCAUUAAUUAAUGAAUUAAUUAUGAGUACCUUCAGAAACCCUCUAUUGAAAAGUGCUGAAAACCAAGGAAACAUUUUGCUCAGCUGAUUUACAGGU